AUUGAACGCUGGCGGCAUGCUUUACACAUGCAAGUCGAACGGCAGCGCGGGCUUCGGCCUGGCGGCGAGUGGCGAACGGGUGAGUAAUGCAUCGGAACGUGCCCAGUAGUGGGGGAUAGCCCGGCGAAAGCCGGAUUAAUACCGCAUACGACCUGAGGGUGAAAGCGGGGGACCGAAAGGCCUCGCGCUAUUGGAGCGGCCGAUGUCGGAUUAGCUAGUUGGUGGGGUAAAGGCUUACCAAGGCGACGAUCCGUAGCUGGUCUGAGAGGACGACCAGCCACACUGGGACUGAGACACGGCCCAGACUCCUACGGGAGGCAGCAGUGGGGAAUUUUGAACAAUGGGGGCAACCCUGAUCCAGCCAUGCCGCGUGCGGGAAGAAGGCCUUCGGGUUGUAAACCGCUUUUGUUCGGGAAGAAAUCCUCUGGGCUAAUACCCCGGGGGGAUGACGGUACCGGAAGAAUAAGCACCGGCUAACUACGUG
rnacentral:rRNA from 1 species